GACGUAGGGUGCAAGCGUUAUCCGGAAUUAUUGGGCGUAAAGAGCUCGUAGGCGGUUUGUCGCGUCUGCUGUGAAAACUGGAGGCUCAACCUCCAGCCUGCAGUGGGUACGGGCAAACUAGAGUGCGGUAGGGGAGAUUGGAAUUCCUGGUGUAGCGGUGGAAUGCGCAGAUAUCAGGAGGAACACCGAUGGCGAAGGCAGAUCUCUGGGCCGUAACUGACGCUGAGGAGCGAAAGCAUGGGGAGCAAACAGG
rnacentral:rRNA from 1 species